UACGUAGGGUCCAAGCGUUAUCCGGAAUCACUGGGCGUAAAGCGUGCGUAGGUGGCGUGUUAAGUGUGAUGUUAAAUCGUGGGGCUCAACCCUGUCGGUGCAUCACAUACUGGCAUGCUAGAGGACAGCAGAUGCAAGUGGAAUUGGUAGUGUAGCAGUGAAAUGCGUAGAUAUUACCAGGAACACCAAUGGCGAAGGCAGCUUGCUGGGCUACUCCUGACACUGAGGUACGAAAGCGUGGGGAGCGAACAGG
rnacentral:rRNA from 1 species